rnacentral:misc_RNA from 1 species
GGACAAGUAAGUUCAGUUCCACUUGGACUCUGUACAAGUAAGUUCAAUUCCACUUGGACUGUGGACAAGUAAGUUCAGUUCCAUUUGGACUCUGUACAAGUAAGUUCAAUUCCACUUGGACUGUGGACAAGUAAGUUCAAUUCCACUUGGACUGUGGACAAGCAAGUUCAAUUCCACUUGGACUGUGGACAAGUAAGUUCAAUUCCAUUUGAACUGUGGACAAUAAGUUCAGUUCCACUUGGACUGUGGACAAGUAAGUUCAGUUCCACUUGGACUAUGGACAAGUAAGUUCAGUUCCACUUGGACUGUGGAGAAGUAAGCGCAUUUGCUAUCCCGUUGACUGUGUAUUCGUUAUUGAACCUAAGAUUAUUGUCAUUAGCAUCUUGAGUAUCUAAUCGCCACGGUUAAUC